UACGGGGGGUGCAAGCGUUAUUCGGAAUUCUUGGGCGUAAAGGGCGCGUAGGCGGUUGACUAAGUCAGUUGUGAAAGCCCUUGGCUUAACCAAGGAAGUGCAUUUGAUACUAUUUGACUUGAGUAUGGGAGAGGGAAGUGGAAUUCCUGGUGUAGAGGUGAAAUUCGUAGAUAUCAGGAGGAACACCGGUGGCGAAAGCGACUUCCUGGACCAAUACUGACGCUGAGGCGCGAAGGCGUGGGGAGCAAACAGG
rnacentral:rRNA from 1 species